ensembl:lncRNA
GUAAGUUUUCUCUGGCAUAACCCUGCAGAAGAUUGGUCUGGAGCCAUAUGUUAUCUGGAGAUUAGUCUCUAGCUCUUGGUGACCUUUCCUUUUUUUUUUUUUUUUUUUUUAAACCUAGCCUUUGUCUAUCACACCAAAAAGUUCAGCCUCUCUGGAGUGUUAUUACUUGGAGGUUUCAAGGAAACCAGGAAGAAUUUUACAUACCUGUAUAUUGGCAUUAAAUUUGUGUUUUAUAUUGAAAAGAAAAUGUGGCUUUAACUUGCCUUUUACUUAGGAUAGUUUAAGAGUUUAUUUCACUUAAUGCUUCUAUGAGCCUUGUGCCUUCCUGGCAUUUUCAUGCUUCCAAUUAUACCAUAAAAGAGCCAGGAGCUACAGCAACUCAGUAAAACAAAAAAGGCUUUCCUGAAUCUCAUUUCUUUGGGAAGCCUUGCAUUUUCUAGAGGGUGGGAUUAGCAGAGCAGUUGGGAUUUGAAGGGUACACAUUAGAAGGAUAGAAGAAGUAUGUUCUCACUGUCAGUUAUCCUCAGCACAGACCAAAAUGACAUGGAAGCCAAUGACAUUAACUACCUCUUCUUCCCAGAAGCAGUAGUGUGGAUACUCUAGGAGCAUCUUGCUCAACAGUCUCUUUUGGAUCCUCAUAAGUAAGUGGAAAUUUCAGUCUCUCUGUGUCUUGUAAUCUGUGUUCAUAUCUGGGGUGCUGUGAUUGGGGACAUGGUUGGUCUCCUGUGAGACCAUCAUUGAUAUUUGAUUGGACUCUCCUUUGGGAGAUGAUUAGCUCAUUAGGAGAUAUCAAUGCUUUCUCACUGGUGUGCUGUUUUGUGGCAAUAGAUUGCAAUAAAGCAAGGCUGUUCCUUGUGAUAUCUCAGCCUCCUCUACCCAUUUGCUCUUUUAACAUCUGCACACUGUGAAGCAGUAGAAAACUAUCACCAGAUAUGGGUCUUGAUUUUGGAAUUCCAAGCCUUCAGAACUAUGAUCCCAAAGAAACUUCCUUCUUUCCUUUAUAAAUUACUGACUUGGGUACCCUCUAUAUAAAUGGGCUAAGACAAGGGGGUAGUUUCAACUUCUAUAUAAAAAGGUAGUAUAUUUUCAGCUUUUCAAGCUAUACAGACACAGUCACCAAAGUGAAAUAAACUGGAGAUCACAUGCAAAUAAAUGGACAAAGUCAUCUUUCAAUAAAACUUUAUAGAUACCAAAUUAGAAUUAGGCCUAAUUCUCAUGUCACACAAUAUUCUUUGUUACCACUUAAGCAUAUAAUGAUAGUUCUUAGCACAUGUGCCAUAUAAAAACAGGUAUUGGGCAACUUGGCCUGUGAGCUUGCUCUGUGGGAGGUAUAAAGGCACAAGUCCCAGAGUCAUUGUGGGAAAUUAGUGGGCACAUGCUUUAGCUAGUGCACCAGGCUUGACCCCACGGUGCCUAUUCAACAGUGGUAUUCAUGUGUCUCUAUCCCAAAGGGAAACAGACACAUCUAUGACAUAAAGCAGGAACUAGAGGCUGAGUGACCACUUAAGUAUAAUUGGAGAUCUGCUGUUUCAACACCCACUGUCCCAUCAGAGCUCCUAACAGUUUUCUCUGAGCCAUUGAUUGAAUGUGCUGAGGACACGGCAUCUCGUCAUUUUAUCUCUUCUCCAGUUCAGUUUUGUUUCAUGUUCUCUCCCUUCCGCAGUUCUCCCUUUUCUAGGACACCUGUAUUUCUUGCCUGUAAAUUGGAAGAUUUUUAAGAAGCUGGAUACACAAGGAGUAAGAUGAACAGUCAGAAAGCCUUACUCUCAGAAUGACUUCUGCAAGGGAAUGUGUGGAAGAGAAGCAGUGUAUGGUAUAGAAACAAGAACAGGCUAUUCUCUGAGUACAUGGGGAGGGAAAAUGACAUGCAGGUAACAUUCCCUUCAUGAAAAUCCAUCAAGUAGAGUCAAAGGCACAGACAUAGGCUCUGAGUCAGUUCUAAGAAUACCAGUGAUGUUACUAGAGGGUCUCCUCACCUCUUGCACCUGGUAGUCAUGGUACGAGGCUCAUAAUAGUGUGCACAUCACAACAUUGUUAAAGUUUCUAAAAGUUUCUUAAGUACUGUAUACAUAGCUCUUGGCUACAUUCCUAGUAUGCAACAUUUGUCAAAUUUUAGCUUCUCUCUCUAACCCCAUGAUAGAGCUAGAACCCAUGACCUACUGCAUAGAAGCAAGCAUGCUACAACUGAGCCACACCAACAUCCACAAAUGACAUACCUUCAUUCUUUAUGGCUGAAAAGGAUUCCAUUGUGUAUAUAUACUGCAUUCUCCUUAUCCACUUCUCUGAUCGUGAACACAUAGGUUUGUUCUAUAAUGUUAGUAUUGUAAAUACUGCUAAAGCGAACAGUAUCUGUGAUGAGUUAGUGUCCUCCUGGUAAAUAUCAGGGAUGUUAUUGCUGGAUCUGGUAGGUCUGUUUGUGGGUUUUUGUUGUUUAUUUGUUUUUUGAAACCUCCAUACUGAAUCCUACCAGCAAUGUUAAGCUCAUCAAGUAAUUGACUUGUGUGAAAAGCCCAGGAAGAAAAGCAAUCCCUCUGCCAGUCUUUCCCUUUAUAGAAUUCAUAUUCUAUCUACUUUCGUCAGUUAAUAUUAAAUCCCAAUGCUCACACCUGCCUACUGGCAGAGACAAACAUUCUACUGAAUAUUGAGUACAAGUUUCAUUGUACUUCAAGGGUCUGUUGUCCAAAAUCCAGUGUUCACCUUUUACUCGUGCUUUAGGCAAAUCUUUUAGUAUAUUAGGUCUGUUUAAAAGGAUGUUUUCUAAUGACUGUACUGAGGUAAGGACAAUAUAUUCCUUUAAUAAUACCAUCCAAUACUUGUGAAGAUGUGAUAUUGCAUGUACAUUUAUAUAAUGCAGGUAACAGAGUGAAGGUUAUCAGAUCAAUUUUUAUAAAAGGGAUGGGUGAUUAAAUCCAUUUGGGGAUAUAACAUGAGGAACUAAUCCAAAACGAUAAAAUCAUAAGCAUAGAAAGAUGAUUGGAGAGAUGAUUAACAUUUCAUUAUAGAGACUCGGGAAAUAAUUAAAAUUUAAAUCUGAAACGUAUAAAAAAUUUGAAAUUAUACAUGCAAAGAUACUUAAGUAAGAUAAAAAUGUUUGUUAUGGAGGCUUUCCUAAUCAGGGGACAUUAAGUAAUUAAGUCUUAGAAAUAGGGAAAGAUACCAGAAGUCAGUGAUCAUGCAAGGGUAAGCUUGGAAGAGAUCUAAUCCCAGAAACAAAUCGUGUCUCUUCAAUUCCAGCUUCCACAAAUGUGAGAGUGUAAAUUUCAGUUGUCUAAGGCACAUAUCCAUGACACUUUGUUAUGGAAGCCUGAGCAGACUAAUUCAAGGGCAGAGAGAAAUGAGCUCAGCAUGUGUUUUGAAAUAAAGAAUUGAUAAACAGCAGUGGUAUCUACUUACAGAGAAUGAAAUGAAACCCCAAAGAAACAAACAGAGUGGCAGGGUAUCUGUCUAGCCUACUAAGCAUCAUUUUACUUCUCUGUUUCUAGCACUUAUGCUAUCCUUUAAAAUUGUUUUAUAUGAUAUAUUGAACUAUAAUUAAUGUGCUGUGUUACUAACUCAUUAUUAGUGUUACAAAAUAUUUGACAAAAUGCAACUAAGAAAUUAUAGUUCCAGGGCAUGUAGUCCAUAAUGGCAUAGAAGUCAUGGCAGCAGGAACAGGAGGCAGAUGGUCACAUUAUGUCCAUACUCAGGACACACAGACAGAUGAAUGCUUGCAAUCAACUUGUUUUCUCUUUUUAUUCAGAGUGGGUAUCCAAGUCCAUGGAAUGGAACGGCUCACAUUUAUGAUGGAUCUUCACCUCAAUCAGCCUAACCUAGAUGAUCCCCUACAGACAACUCAUUUCAAUGAACCUUUCUCACAGCUUUCCUUGGGAAGAGAGAUGUCCAGCAGCAGCAAGUUCAAGCUCAAAGGAAAUAAAAAGAUUUGGCCAUGCUACAGGCAUCUGUGAUAGAAGACCAGGAGACCCCAUUUGUGGAUUGCUGCUCUGAGAGUCUGUGCUACUGGUCUUAUAUUCAAGAAGUUGUCUCCUAUGCCAAUGUGUUCAAGGCUUCUUCUUACUUUGUCUUCUACCAGGCCGUUAGCACCAGACUGGGACAGUUGCUGCAUGGACUGAACUAUACCUCUCCUGUGAGACAGUCAUUGUCAGUGUAUCCAGAGCAUAUCAUACUCCUGCUGAUGGUGAAGGGCUGAGUUUGGUUAUGAGAACUCGUCAGGACAGCCACUACUGGCAGUGGCCAUGCCAAUAUUGUGGGCUGGGGUUCCCAUGUACAAGACAGGUGCUGUUCAGAUACAGCCACAAUCACAAUCAAGUUUGUUGUGGCCAGAAAUAUGUAAAAGAGUCUCAAACUAAGAACUCUGUCACUUCACAGAAACAAGGCUUGAAGUUGUUUUGAACUAGGACUCUUCUAAAUAUCCUGAAUUCCAGUCUCAUCCAUUGACUAUGAGAGGAACAAGACUUUAUCCACACUAUGACUCUAAGAAGAAGUUGAAAUGUGGUAUAUUUAUACAAUGGAGUACUAUUCAGCAGAAAAAUGCAAUGGAAUCUUGAAAUUCGCAGGCAAAUGGAUGGAACUAGAAGAAACAAUCCUGAGUGAGGUAACCCAAUCACAAAAAGACAAACAUGGUAUGUACUCACUCAUAUAUGAUUUUUAGACAUAGAGCAAAGGUUUACCAGCCUAUAAUCCUCUUCCCCAAAGAAACUAGAAAUCAUGAAUGACUCUAAGGGAUAAAUGGACCCCAGGAAUGGGAAGUGGCAUGAACUCCCGAGCUAAUUGAGAGCAUGAGGGUAGGGGAGUGGGUGCUGCCACAAUAAGAGCACAAGAAGAAGAGGAGAGGAGAAGAAAUGGAGAAGCAGAUAUAUUGAGUUGGGGGAAGAAUAGAGGAGAGAGAGCAGGAUAAGAGAUACCAUAUCAGAGGGAGCCACUAUAGGUCCGACAAGAGAUCUGGAACUAGAAAGAUCUCCAGAGACCUACAAGGAUGACACGAUCUGACAGUCCAGGCAGUGGAGGAGAGGAUGGCCUAGAAGCCCUUCCCCUAGAAUGAGAUUGAUGACUACUCUCUAUGCUAUCCUAGAGUCCUCAUCCAGUGGCUGAUGGAAGCAGAGACAGACAUCCACAGAAAUACACUGAGCUGAAAUCUGGAACCUAGUUGAAGAGAGGGAGGAAUGAAGAACGAAGGGGUCUGUACCAGGUUGGAGAAACCCACAGAAACAGUUGGCCUGAAAAAGGGAAAGCAUAUCGACCCCAGACGCUCUUUGGGAGGCCAGUAUGGGACUAAUCCAGCCCCCUGAUCAUGGAUGCCAAUGGGGAGGCCCCUGCACUCCUGGGAGCCUCCGGAGGUGGACUGGCGUUUUGCCCUGAGACUUCAUCCAGUAGCUGUUCGAAGCAGAAACAGGCACCCACAGCUAAGCACUGAACCAUACUCCUGGAAUCCAGUUGUGGAGACGGAGGACAGAUGAGCAAAGGAGCCAAAACAGUGCUGCAGAAACCCGCAGAAACAGUUGACCUGACCUAGUGAGAGCAUGGAGACACUAGUCAUAAAACUGCAGAAACAGCAUUGGACCGAACCAAGCCCUCUGAAUGUGGGUGCCAGCUAGGUAGCCAAGUCAGUCUAUGGGACCUCUAACAGUGGAGCCAGUCUUUAACCCUAGAGCACAAAUGGACUUUGGGAGCCCAUUCCCUAUGGAGGGAUACUAUUGUAGCUCAGAUACAGCAAGGAAGGCCUAGGCCCUCCCCCAAACAAUACGACAGACUUUGAAGGUCCCUGGUAGAGGACCUCACUAUCCCUGGGGAGGAGUUGGGGGAUGGAUUGGGG